rnacentral:lncRNA from 1 species
GUUCUUUGGACUUCUGUAUAGAGUUACCAUGUAAACUCAGUAUGUGGCAUAUGUGCUGGGAAGACUCUCCUUUCUCUCAGUGACUUUAUAUCUGUCCAUUUUGAGUUGUAUAUUUGUCUCAGAUGUGAGCUUCUGACCAUCUAAUUUAACCUCACUUCAGCUUUUAUGUGCCACUGCAAUUUUUCAAGCACUUCCUCCCACCACCUUGCCCUCCUUAUUUGAGCUUGUGUUAGUGAUACAGGUAAGUAUUACCCUUGUUUCACAGUGGGCAAAAAUUGAGGUAGGAUAGAGAAUUUGUCCAAGCCCAAAUGAUGAAUCACUGGUUGGAUUAUUGUAGUCCAAUGUUUUCUGACUCCUAGUCCAUGCUUAUUUUACAGACUUUGCUAUUUAAAACCUGUCCCUACCUUCUGGCACCCUGUUAAUUUCUCCAGCACAGCCAGUUCCUUUGUGCUGUCUGCAUAGCAGACCUUCAAGUGAAAUUACUGAGCUCUUUGUCUGUAUGUGCUCUCGUUGCCAUCCAUCCACACUCAUUCAGCUGCCUCUGUAUAUUGUAGACUAGAACAUGAAUCCAUGGAAAAAGAGUCUUCUGAACCCAUCUGCCUACUAUAAGGAGAAAUCCUGAAGUUCAAGAUAAGAUAAACACAGCCUUGUAAAAAAAAAAAAAAAUUUUUUUUUUCUGAUUCAUUUGCAUAUGUGCAUGUGCCCCCUUUAAAUGAAACACUGCUCUAGGGUAGGGCCAGUGCCUACAUCUUUGAACCUUUUACAAUAAAUAUUGUCCAAAAAUAUAAAAGACCA